rfam:Triticum aestivum genome assembly, contig: Triticum_aestivum_CS42_TGACv1_scaffold_063157_1DL
GAUGGCAGUGGCGGUUUGCAAAUAUUCAAGCUCAACAGACCAAAUCACAGGCUUUUCUCUCAGGAGUCGAUUUGUGUGCUGAUUAUCCCGCUGAACCAAGCCAUC